AAAUUGAAGAGUUUGAUCAUGGCUCAGAUUGAACGCUGGCGGCAGGCCUAACACAUGCAAGUCGAACGGUAACAGAGAGCAGCUUGCUGCUUUGCUGACGAGUGGCGGACGGGUGAGUAAUGUCUGGGAAACUGCCUGAUGGAG
rnacentral:rRNA from 1 species